AUUCUGCCCAUACGGGGAGGGAUGAGAAGCUUCGUCCAAGGUGCGACUCGAACGCCAGCGAGAAAGCGUUGCCGCAGGCAACGACCCGAAGGGUGAAGCGCGCAGCGCUAGUAAUCCUUCCCCCACCACCA
rnacentral:sRNA from 12 species